UGGCCAAUGCAGAAUCCACUCCCCCAAUGCCACUUUUUUUUUUUUUUUAAACCCAGGAGAGAGAAAGCUUUGGGGGAAAAAAAGAAAAAAAGCAAAAAAGCCCAGAUCUCAGGCUAAAUAAGGAAGGCGUUAUAUGUUAGGUGCAGCCAGACAAAAAGUCUGGACUGAAACAAAGCCCUUCCGUGGGUGAUUGCUAGGGAAAGGGGACCAAAAAAAAAAAAAAUAAUAAUAAUAAUAAUAAUAAAAGGAGAGGAGGAUGGAGCUUAAAGAAUUUGGUGAUCUGUCAUGGUGUAGUAUGAGUUAUAGCCUGACAACGCCAGGAACUUUCUCAUUCUAAAUUCUCAGGCCCAGAGCAAAAAGGUCCAGAAAAGGCUUUUUUUUUACCUUUUGCUGAUAAAAAAUGCAAUGCCCCCAGCAGCAGUGUGGAGAGUCCUCGGGCCACUGUCUUGGACAUGAGGAGACUCUGCUGGCCUGGGCCCACCUCUUGCAGGAGAGUUCUGUUUGUACAGCUUGUCUUAAAACCACAGUGAGUCCUUCUUGUUCUACUUGGGCCACCCUGUAAAUACUUCAGUUGGCAGAUUAUUUAGAAAGGAAUAAGAAGCUUAUAUCUCACCUCUUCCUACCCAUCUCCAUAUCCUGUGCCAAUCUGCUGAGCACGGACCACAGGCUUCUCUCUGGAGUCCUCUAUUUCCCUCUCUCUUCCAGGGACAGAGAGAAACCUUGGUUAUAGUCCAAGGCCAACGAGAGACUUCUGACCUUCAGCUUAAUUCAGUAGGUGACAUCCUCACCCUUAGCCGUCCCCCCUACCCCCACUGCCUUCACGUUUGCUCUUGUGAAUGGAUGCUCAGCCACACGAGAGGAUGGAGCUGGAGCAGCAGAACCCUCAGAAGUGAAGCGGACAUCACCUCACACAUCCCAUCAGCUCAUACAGAAUCACCCGAAGUGCUGGAAACUGCACUUGGCUUUGUCCCUCCCCACUUCAAGCAGGCUGGCGGAGUGCAGAGUUGCAGGAUAUGAGGGGUGUGGCAAGGAAGAGGAAGAACUACCAACCGGAGCUCCUCUGACAGACACUUUUCUGGAAAUCAUUUAGGACAACAUAGCAACAGACCACUGAGAGUUCCCUUCCCACCUGAAGGGGCUCAGAGAGGGGAAUGAGGGGAGAUGGAAAACGACCCAGAAGGCAUGGAGAGAGGGGAUGCUGGAGAGGGCAACGUUCAGAACCAGGAGGCAUGACCAGAGUUCCCCUGCCAGAGUUUUACUUCUGUGACCAGCCAAUGGGCAUGAUAAGGCCUUAAAAGAAAAACAAAAACCUGUUCGUGGAUCCUCUUGGCAGAGCCGGCAGGUAGCUGAUUGAUAAGCAGGAAAAACUGAGGGGUCAGAUCAAGCAUGACACUGCUUCUCUCCAGAGACCUCUGCAUGGAAUCCACUCCUGCAAGAAGAGGAGGGGGAGGGCGGGGGGAGAGGGGUGGCGGAAGGCGUGGGGGCUGGCUGGCCUUUCACUGCUCAGCUUGGCUCCCUGAGAAACUAGCCGCAGUCGGCACGGUGGGUCCCGCACACCCCUGACGGCCGUCUCCCGCAAACAGGGGUAGAAGCCCCUGGUACCAUCUGAGUUCUGAGCAGGAGAAGGAGUGUGGAGAGAGGGGCCGGGGAUGGUGAAGGAGCCCAGGUGAGAUACCUGAUCUUCACAGACUUGCCCACUUCCUCCAGGGAAGGCUCAGCACCAAGAGGGGAAACUGGCCCAUUCAGUGUCCCGCCGUUUUAGGGUGACGUAGCAUUUCACCAGGACUGCUUGAAAUAGAUCUUUCUCAACCAGUGAAAUUCAGUGAUACAGACACCCUGGGCCUGGUGCUAAAACAAUAGUAGCUGAAACUUACCUGACAUUGAAAAUGUGCUUUAGAGUCCUUUUCUUAUAUUAACUCACUUAGUUUUUACAACAACCCUCUGAAUAGGUACUAUCAUACCCCCAAUUUACAGAAGGAGAAAGUGAGGCACAGAGAAGUUGACUAACUUUGCUGCAGUCACUCAGCUAACAGGUGCCAAGCCAAGAUGCACAUCAAGCAAACUGGCCCUGGAUCCUCCUUAGCAGCGGGACAAUUUUCAGAUAAAAUUUUACGUGGAUGCCAAAUGUCUGACAGAUAAAGGCAAGUCUGCAGCCACUGAGCAGUGGACUGACUCUGAUUGCAGAUGCUCGGCAGAGAGCAGGGCCCGAUGGAAUCUCUGUGACCUCUUACAUCCCAAACAUUGGAAGAGGUCAAUUACUUCCCAUUUGGGGAACCUGUGAACAUUAAGAGGUGACUGGAGUGACGGGACUGAACGAUGCAGAUAAGAGGCUGAUUGCUUACAGAGCAGCGCCCUGGCCAGCAAAUAUGGAUGCUACGGCAAUCUGGGCAGCAGAACAGAAAAUGUGGCAGGUCAAUGGAACAUCUUGGGUGUAUGUGAAAGCAACACUCUCUCCUGCCUCCCGCAUCUCUUCCGCCAACUGAAUGCAACUGACAAAGUCCCAGAAGCCAGCCUUGAAAUUUAUCUCAAACUGCUAUGAAAUAGGACUCCAGCUUUGGCAUGUGCCCAUUUACUUUUCCCCAUUCCCAUAUCCUAGACCUUUCUCAGAACUUCUCCCAGUAAAUAAUGUCAUUCUCACCCUCAUUAAAGGGAUUAAUCCACUGCCUCUAAGCACUGUCUCUAAGCACCCAGCUCACACCGGGUUUUCUCUCUUUCUAGAGAGUGUAUUGCCUGUCUGACUUGACAUGCAGUAUACACCACCUUGUAUUUUUAGAUACCUUUCUCGUGCUAGUCUCUGGUAUUCAAUUAGAUAGUAAAUUCCUUAAGGGCGGCAGCCAAAGUUUAUUUUCUUUUGUGUCCUAUGUUCAGCGAUGACUGAGUUAGUGAUGAUUGAAUUAAGCCUCUGUCCCCUUCACUCACAGCCUUGACCACAGCCAUCGCUGUUCCUCCUGGGCUCUUCCUCGUGGCGCAAAGCGCGGAGGCGGCGCGGGAGGCACGGUCUGUUCAGAACAACACACUCUGAUAACUGCUCCUUGGGUUACAAGCGGGUGGGAGGGUGAAAGAAACAGCAUUUAUUAAUUUCCUACCCUGCACCACGUACUUUGCUAGAUCCAUACGAUGAUGACCUACAUUUCUGGGUAAGGACUUUACCCAAAGGAAAGCAACAAAGAGUUCUUAAAAAUUAACAUAGAGUAUUUUAGAAUCUCAUCUUGGGAAAUUUUAAUACAACUCACUGAACAAAUGAGGGCCAGACGGUUACUCAGUGGUGGUACUGAGCUUAAACUCAACUGUCGUGAAUCUAAGGUCAAUGUCCACGAGUAAUUUUCCUCUUAUAAGGAAUACCCCUCAAAGGGAAAGGAGAAUAUUACACUGUAUGACCAUUUUCUCAUGAUGGAGAC